GCUUUCUUAGAAGAGCAAUGAGUUAUUCUGCAGCCGGACUUGGAAAGCCUGGCUCAGGUCAGCAAAUAUCGGAGUGUUCAUAUGCUUAAAAUGUUGCGGUGUCCACAGAAGCCUCAGCACUCAUAUCUCAAAGGUCUUAUCUGUGACAUUAGAUGAAUGGUCAGAUGAAGAAGUCGAUUCUAUGAUUCAAAUUGGAGGAAAUGCCUCUGCUAAUUCAAUCUACGAGGCAUUUAUACCUGAUGGUUUCUCUAAGCCUGGACCUGAUGCUACUCAUGACCUGAGGUUUAUCCGGGAGGUUCUCCUAUAAAAAACGAACAAAAUAGUGUGUUGUUUAUACCAACACUACAAGGGGAGGGGCAAAGAUAGCAUUCUGGUCAAAAAUGCUAUCUUUGACAUAACUCAUUAUUUAAGAUAGCGCUAUAAAAAGCCGCAUAUAUAAUAUCUUUAUUCGUUAAAACGCUAUCUUUUCUCUCUUACUCUAAUUUCAUUUUCCCUCUCACUUUAGUUCACUUGCCUUCAAAUAUAAACAUAACAAUUAUUCUAUAAAUAUUUAUACAUAAAAAGAAAAAGAAAAUCUAUUGGUUGAAAAGAAUACACAAGGAUUGCAAUCUCUAUCCUUAAUUUUUUUAUUCCAAAGGUGAAGAUUGUGUUUUGUCCUCUCCUUUUGUCUUCUCAAACACGACAUAUCUGAGUUCAGAAGAAAAAAAAAACAACAGAGAGAUGAGACAGAGAGAGAUGAGAGAUUGCAUGAGGAAGAAGAAGAUACCGGUCUUUUUCUCUUCUCAUCUCAACUCUUCCUCUGAUCCUCUCCAUUCUUUUUCUGAAACACGACAGAGAGAUGAAAGAUAAGAGAUGAGACAGAGAGAUGAGACAGAGAGAUGACAGGAGGAAAAAUAAAAGACCGGUCUGAGUUCGUCACCGUCGUCACCUCCCGAGAACGCCUCUCCCCUCUGCAGCCGAAUUCGAACCCAACGGUACCCAGAACAACAACCCAUCACCGCUCAAAGACAACGACGGUGAGAUUCACUCCAGUCAUCAACCCAUGUUUUCGAUUAGGGUUUCCAUUUGUUUCAGUUUUAGGGUUUGGAUUGGGGCGUUUGCAAUGAGGGUUUUGAUUUGUUUCAGGUUUAGUGUUUUGAUUGGGGCUUUUGCGAUUAGGGUUCGAUUUGUUACAGUGUUUAUGUAUCUAGAUCUGUCACAGAGAAGCUUGAGUGGUAACGACUACAACGAAAUGGUGGUGGUGGUGUACGGAGAGAAGACAGAUAUCUCGGUUUGGUCGGCGUGAAUCCUCUUUGGUCUCUUCAGCUUCGUGAAGAACAGAUGGAGGCUCGCCGGUCCCAAAAAACUGGUAUCAAUCUUCCACUUCGCUUAUGAUUCUGCUUCUUGCUGAUAUAUUUUGUGGCUGUUGAUUUGUUGAUUUCUCUCAUGGUCCCAAUGACUGAGUAUUUCAGUGUGCGGCGAAGGAAGCUUCACUUAGGUCUUCUCAGUGAUCUUAAACGCUUUCCGUUGACAAUGCCAUGUUUCCUUAGCUAGGGAAGUUGUGAGUUUGUGUGUUCCUUCUCAUACUUCAAAGUUACAUGUCAAUUGAAAACAAUUGCGUGAAUGGCUUGUUUUAUUUGAGUUAAAUUUUCUUGACUUGUUCCUACUUAUUCUCAAAGCACAGUUUGUUUGAUGAUACACUACAGAACUGGAACCACAGCCACGACAAGAAGCAGAUGCUUAAGUGAUGUGGAGGAGAACACAUAAGAAGGAAGACAGAUGAGACAGAGAGAAGACAUAUGCGAUUGAUGAAUUUUGUGAUGUUGCAGGGAUUGAUGAAGAAGUUGACGAACUUCCAAAGAAAAUAGUCGAUCAUGAUUACGUCGAGUAUAACAACUCUUCCAUAAUGAGUUCUUGUCAGGCUCACUCUCCUUGGCUCUCUGCUUAACAUCAUUUCCCCUUUAUAAGUCUGGUGCAAGAAGCUUGACGUCAAAGGAGGCAAGGCGUCGUGCUGUGGGGAUGCGAAUCGUGGUGUGGUGCGGCACUAGGAGAUAGAUCUUUAGGUUCUGAAAUUUUAGGUGUAGCUUUGGAAGGUGAAGAACACUUGGCAUCAGAUAGAUCUUCAAGACACUUGUACUCCACUAUUAUCAUCUUGGUGGUCAUAGCGAUGAUAGUGAAGACUUAGCUUUAGGUUUAUGUUUUGGUUUAGCUAUAGGUUUAUGUUUUGGUUUAGUUAUGGUUUAGAUUUUUGGUUUUGUUUUUGGUUAUUUAGUAAACAAUUUCGAUAUAUACAAUUUUAAAAUAUACAUUUUUUUUUUAUAA